AUUGAACGCUGGCGGCAGGCCUAACACAUGCAAGUCGAACGAGUGGCGGACGGGUGAGUAAUGUCUGGGAAACUGCCCGAUGGAGGGGGAUAACUACUGGAAACGGUAGCUAAUACCGCAUAACAUCAGAUGUGCCCAGAUGGGAUUAGCUAGGAGGUGGGGUAAUGGCUCACAGAGGCGACGAUCCCUAGCUGGUCUGAGAGGAUGACCAGCCACACUGGAACUGAGACACGGUCCAGACUCCGACGGGAGGCAGCAGUGGGGAAUAUUGCACAAUGGGCGCAAGCCUGAUGUCGCCAUGCCGCGUGUAUGAAGAAGGCCUUAGUGUUGUAAAGCACUUUCAGCGGGGAGGCGUUACCCGCAGAAGAAGCACCGGCUAACUCCGUGCCAGCAGCCGCGGUAAUUC
rnacentral:rRNA from 1 species